CGCGGAUUCGAUCAAGGGCCCGUCUUCCCUCAACGCGCCCAAAGGGCUUUCUGCCGAAUUCGGACCAAAUCCCAAGUCUCCUCUUAAGGCUGAGGAAGCGCCCCGCGCGCCUCGCUCAUCGCCGCGUGGCCACGUGGGUCUCUGGGGCCUCGGGGCCUGCCACGCCCCUUCCAGCCUCAGGGUCUUUGCACCUGCCGAUGCCUUCGUGUCUCCCAGCUCCACUCCGCUUCCAUUAGUUGUGGCCGCAUCCGGUUGCGCGGAGCCCAACACAGGGCUCGAACUCAAGGACCGGGAGAUCGAGACCUGAGCCGAGAUCCAGAAUCGGACGCUCAACCCACUGAGCCACCCAGGCGCCCCUGUGUGUUUAUAGUUUAUUGUAAAUUGUACUUAUAUUUUCCUAUCACUUUCUUUUAAGGCUAGAAGACAACUAAUAAAACAUAAAAUGAAACGAA